UCUUGAGUAAAGUUUCUGUGUCUGACUUGUAACUCCAGUAUCUGGCACAUAAUGGGUGGCGAGUAUAGAAAAGAUCCUAUUUCCAAGUAAGAUCACAUUCACAGGCACCAGAGAUUAAGAUUUCAACAUAUGUUUCUGGGGGAGACAAGUCAACUUACAACAACCACCUCCCCUCUCUUGUUCCAGUGUGUCUUCCAUCCUUCUUUAAAGUUUAUUUAUUUCUUUUUGAGAGAGAGCGAGCGAGAGAGAGCGAGAGCACAACCGACUGAACCACCAGGCACCACAUCUUCCGUCUGUCUUUACCCAGCUGGCAGCCAUUCUUGAUGUCGACCAGGAUUCACGCUUCUAGAUGUUGCAUGACUUGGAAUACAUUUGAGCUGCCUCUCCUGGAGUGGACGCCGUUUGGAUCGAUGCUAACCCACAGCUUCGGGAGUUGGGCUGCUGGCCCUUCUUUGUUAGGAGGCAGGAUUUGAAGCCAAUAUUCACAAGAUGAAGUUUGGAUGAAGAGCAACACAAGAGGGUAUAAAACACUGUCACAUUUUUUCAUGCCAGAAAAUAUUUCUUUCUCGUAUUAUUUCUUUAAAUAGCUCUUCACAAUAAGCAACCUCGGGGAAUAACAAGUGCAAAAAAGAAGAACCAGGCCAAGUACAGCUCCUAACAGAAAUUCAGCGCAUGAUUUAUUAAUAAGACCCUGUUUGCUCUGAGUCGUCGUUUUAUCUCCCAAAGAGUACGUAGUAGGAACAGUUGAGCCUGCAAGGAGAGGGUGUUCCUGUGCCUUUCCUGGAGUACGGCGACUGGCUACCGUUGAGAAUCUUCGUGUGCGGUUACCGAUGCAAUGUGUGCCUGAAGUCACUGCCCGAUCCUGCCACAUAGGGAAGUGUGAGGAAAUGUCAGCCCAUGGCUGAGUCUCUGCGUCACCACGGCCCCGGAUAGCAGUCUCCCCAAGCUUUGCUCAUUUUUCAAAAUGCCCAAGGAGAGCGAGGAGAGAAAACAAGAAUCAGGGAAAAGGAUGCCUAGAAUAAUCUAACUUUCAGUUACGUCAUAUUACAACCCAUAAUAAUAAAAGUGUAAAGGACAAUGCAAUUUCUCCAGGAGAUUAAUAGGCAUUUGAGGGCCUUUUAAGAAAAGAAUAAUGUUUGAUCUAAUGCCCCCAAACAGUAGGAGAUACUGUAACUCAGUGUUGGGCCAAAUGCUUCAUCUGAGCUCUGCACACUUCACGGUGAGUCCCUGACUUUUACAUUAAUUUCCACGAAUGGCCACGCAGAUCCCGUGUUUUAAAUCCUCGUGCAGACCCGGAUGAAAGCGAACACUAGCUCCUAGAGUCACCUAGUCCUUCUCUGUGGAAUCAUUUCUAAUUGAAUGUUAAGAUCAAAGUUUAAGUUUAUAAGAAAGAAAAACAAGUGCAGAUAAAUAGUUAUUAUCUGACACCCUUAUGAAAAUUCAUGACCUGCACUUUUAUCAGAGACCUUAUAAGAAUUCUAAUUGUGAAGUAUGCGGAGCCAUUAACUGGCGAGUACGCUUCAGUCUCUUGAUAAGAAGUGAGUUAAAUAAUUGUCCUGUUUAACUUGUGCUUGUUAACCUUUAAGGUCAACUAGUUUGAACAUACGUUUAAUGAAAUCCUGGAGCCAGAAUUUAUGAUACUGCUGCCGAAUGCUAAAUUGGACAAUUUACAUAAGCAGGACAUUAACCUUCUGAGCACUAAAUAGCAUUUUAGCACUUAGCCGCUGGGGACAAUAAGGGACAUGUUCUAUAUAUUUGUGAUUAGCUUGCCUGGAAACUCUCAUGAUGACCAAUUGGCCUACCAAGUUUAGCAGCAUAAUUAAAUGAAUGGACUCAGCCUAAGUAAAUUAUCAGUGCUGUGUACAGUAUAUCAUUAUAGUCCAAAGGAAAAAAAAAGAUAUGAAUAAUUUAAUAAUACAUUACUAAUUUAUCAAUGCUAAGUGACUUUGAGGAGGCUCUUUGCAGUUCAUUGUUUUAAAUUUGAUAUUUGAUUUAUUGCUCGCGUGAUUAAAAUUGAGCCUGUUUCAUUUCUUACUAGAAGUAUAUAGAAGCAGUAGAUCUUAUUUUAUUUCAUUUCAUCUCAUUUCAUUUUAUUGAGGUGAGACUGGUGGUGUUUCCUGCUUUGGUGAUAUUACAAAAUACCUCCUACUGUGCACUGAUUAGCAGCCAUAUUGCUUGCCACUAGAGAAACAAUAGUUUCAGAAUAUUUUCCAAAGGACGCAAAUGAUUACAUGGCCCUCUUCUUAUUGGCCAGUGUAAUCUCAGCUAUGAAAGCUUUUCUGUAAGUAUCUGAUACCUUAAUGAGCAGAUUUCCUUGUCUUUCUUAUUGUUCUUCCGUGUUUCCUAUAUUUUCUUUCUUUCCUUGGCUUGGAAUAAAUUACUUAGUUGGACAGAAUAACCUUACAUUAUUCCCAGUCAAUACAUGACUAUAUAAAGAUAGGUGUUUUCAUCUGUAAGGACAAACUCAAAGGAUUCCAAGAAUGAAAGUGUUGGUGUAGCUGUCUGAAGAGAUUUGAAACAUUCUUUUAACUUUAUUGCAACCAUCGCCCACAUUGUGAGGAACACUCUUCCUGUUAACUGGAAGGAAAAGAAAUUUCUCUAACGUAUUUUCCACUCAGCCCUCUUUAAGAUAAUUCCUUUCAUUGCUUUGGAAAGUCAUUCACACUAACAGGUACCAGUUUUUCUGUGCCUGCCUUGGGCUAAGUAGAGCAGGUGACAAAAACCCUUUCAGGUUGUCAGAUAUUAAUGUAAAAUACCCCUAGACCUCACUACGUAUUCAUCUUCAUCUAGUUGACUAAUGCUUUUCCCACGUUCUUACAUGUUGGUAAAUUAAAGAAACCUUCCAGACAGUUCUGUCAACAGUUUACUGAAAUGUACCUCAUUAGUGAGGUUGACCUGUCACAUGAGUGUAAUUUAAUCCUAUUGAAUUAUCACUCAAAAAUGCCUAAGUGCUGGGUUUUUAUACACUGGAUAGAAGGUUUGCUACUAACACUGUCAUGUUUCCAGUUGAUGAGAGAGGAAACAAGCAAAAAAUAUGCAGGGUCCUCUCUGCCUCCACCUCCCCACGCCCAAAAUAGUGAUACUUAUGUCAUCUCCUGAACAGAAUAUUACAUUUCACUGUAGAUCAAAAAUAUCCCUGUGGAUCAUUUUCUUUUCAAAUCUAAAAGGGAAAGAGUGAAUGUUGACUGCUACCCCCUUUAUCUCCCUGUCCGGUAACAAAAGGAAUCUCUGAUACAAAGCCCGAUCUGAAUGAGGAGUUUCAGAAUCUGCAGCGUUCUCUAAUGUUAAUGGGACUCUUUACUGUAAGAUAUUAUUUAUGAUCUGCUGCGAUAUUGUGUUUUCUAAAUGGCAAAGCAGCACAUGAGAUUAAUUAUUUUUCUUCAGUUGUUUCUGUACUGUGACUUUACACUAUCCCAAGGUGAGCUGGGUAAGAACUGAUUAUAAGCAAUGAACACAGAAUGUGUGGAGCACGCUGGGAACAUUUGGUUAAUCUCUCCUUUUCAGAACCACACUUGUAACUAUUUCCUCAGUUAUUCAGAUAAUUUGAUGCCAUUGGUCAAGAUGUGAGCUUUUUACUGUCGUGACUUGGCAAGUUGAUUAGGCCAAUCUAUAGAAAUUGAAGAGACUCUCUUUAGUAGCGAGAGAUGAAUAGCCAAAAAAUACGUAGCUUGACCUAAAGAAAUAAGGGAGACAUAUCAAAGACACACUGAUGAAGUAUCUGUCAUAAUCCUAAAGGCUAGUAUUUAGUGUGUGCUUACUAGAGACCAUGUUCUGUGCUAUGCAUUUUACAUGGAUUAGUCUCUUCGUUUCUCUUAACAACCCUAAGCAUUUGGCUCUCUUCUGAUCACCACGUUAUAAUUAAGGAAGCUGAAAUGAGACAUGUCAAAGUGAAGGUUAUGGAGCUCACAGAUGGCAGAAUUUGAACCCACAGCCAAUGCCCUUAAGAGCUAUGUAGCACUGUGGUCACAACUGUGAAGUCACCGAAUCAGAGUUUGAUCAUUAAGUUCUACAGAUUCUAACUCAUCAUGGCUGUUCUCCAAAAGAAUGUUGGCCCCCAGGCAAUGUUGGUUCUGUGGUUUGCAUUCAGCCUCCUUGUUACUGGGAAGUGAAGGUAUACGAUUUUGCUCUUGUUGUCCCAUUCUGUCACAGUAGAUUAGCUAUGGUCCUAGAGUGAGAUGUCUGUGCACUGCAGUGCAGGUCAUGGGAUAAUGAAAUGAGAUCCUGUAGCUUUUGGAGGCCUGGCUGGUGCCUCUGUGACAGCAUGCUCGACCUUACCUGCUUGCUGUGCUCUUAAGGGCAUGAGGAUUGUAAAUUAUGUGGUUGCUUUCUUAGCCUUCUUACCUUCCUCCGUCCUCCUCCACCGACCCUCCAUGUACCUGUCAGGCUUCGCCAAAGAUGCACUAAAUUCUAAAUGGUGGAAAACUGACUCUGCAUGACGGGUGGGUGAAAAAGGUCAUGGCGCUUCAUAUUCCGAUUCAGAUGGCAGCCUACUUGGCCUGAGAAAUAAAAAGGGAAAUGUCUGGGAGAAAAAUCACAGAAAGAACGUAUAUUUUUAUUCUCCUUUUUUUCCUCCAAAAGUAGAGCAAACGAACCCAGAUCAGAUUGGCGAACAUGUUGUUUUUCCCGGUGGAAUAAAACCUCUAAGCCAUCUCUGAGAUUGCUAUAGACAAAGAACUCUCAUUGACCUCAACAGCUAUUUUAUAUGGGAGACACCAGGGCAGGACACCUUUUGGUGAUUUUAUAAGGUCUUGGAAACCUCAUUUGGUAAGCAUGAAAGAGGGAGAGGAUUUGGGUCAGGAGUGCUGAAUCCUCGUCUCACCACUGUUGACUUUCUGCGUAACAUAAUAUUUGAGAGAUUACAUUGAAAUGUCUCAGGAUUUAUUAAUCCCAUAUGUUUUUUUAAGUUUAUUUUUGAGAGAGAGAGAGAGAGAGAGAA